GGUGGCACCCUUCUGCUCCAUCAACUUUCCCAAGCAUGUGGAUUUUUAAAAGUAACAAGAAGAGAGAACAAUGAAAACCUUGUGGGACUGACAAAGUAGGAAGAGGAUGUUGAAUUACAGACAAAGAUGAAGACCUAGAACUUUAUAAACCCAAGCACCUCCUGGAAACUUCACAUCAUCAGGACAAGCAGAAUGAUUCCACAGCCGUCUGUCUCCAUCCUACCUCGUCCUCCUAGUUGACACUUUAGAAGCCUUACUUGAGCGAAAAGAAUAUCUUACCACUGCAUUUUUACUGGGACAACACACUUUAUUGUUUAGUUCUUAGGACGAAAACAGUCGAUAGAUUGAUGAAGGCAAAAUGACCUUGUUUUUGAACAAAAACCUCCAGAUCUCAUCCCCUUCAGCAGCACUGCCUUCACCUAAAUGCUAAUGACCUUAAUGUAGUUGAUGUAUACAGACUCUCCCCAGUGUGUCUGCAUUGCAUGUGGUGUUUGACAUUUCACAGCUUGGUCUCUCAAAGCUGGGAUCCAAGCUCAGCACGCACCCCUCCAAGGCAGACAGUAAAUAUGUGUUAGAGCUGGUUCCUGCCCUGACGUGGUUGGCUUCAUACACAGCAUCCUUCAUUGAUGGAAUAAAAGUCCUAAUCAGGGAGAGUGUGUACCCCAGGAGACACAUAAAAUAGGUUGCCAAUAGGGUUUGAAUCAAUCAAUCGAUUCAUAUCAUUAAGGAUUCUGUGGCCCCAUUCCAUCCUGCCCCCCAGAUCAGUUCAGUGUUGAACUAUGUGCUGUGGAAACUCACAUGCAGGGGCAGAUUUCCAAAACGUUGAGAAUCUCCCAUGUAUUAUGAGAUGAGCUCACAUCACAAGGUAAGCAGUUCAAGUAAUAGUAGUCUGGAAGGAGGCAGAGGGCUUGGACAGAGACAGGAGAGAUUUCUGGAGAAAAGCAGAUGGAGGAUUUGCAUUGUUGGAGGGAAGUAGGCCAGCGGGCAGUGACAACGGAGGCGACAUGCCGAGUGGUCACCUGGUUCAACCACUCCUCAGUGUGUGAGCUUCACGGGUUCUUCUCGGCCACUCUGGAGCCUCCUCAUUCUUCCUGCAUAAUGGAGCCAGUGACCCCAUCUCUCAGGGCCAUCGUGAGUUCUAAUACGAAAAAGAGGGUCUCACUCUGUUGCCCAGGCUGGAGUACAGUAGCACAAUCAUGGCUCACUGUAGCCUCAACCUCUUGGGUUCAAGUGAUCCUCCUGCCUCAUCCUCCUGAAUAGCUGGGACCACAACAGGCUUCCAUGAGAGACCUUUCAAGCCAACUCAAUCAUAAUACAUUUUAGAAUGAUGAGGAGGAUGAUGAUGGUGACAGUGAUGAUGACCAUUUCUCGACUGCUUGCACAGUGCUAGACUCACUCCUUCAUUUAAGUGUCACAGCCACCAAGUUUGAAAAAAGGUCUUCAAUCUAAAGUGGAGAAGUGGAGCUGGUAGCCGAGAAAUUUGCCUAAGAUCACACUGAAUGUUGUCUGCAAAGGAGACCAGGGAGCACUCUGUGCCCUCAGUGACGGACUACCUGGACGUGAGAUGAAAUGGGCAGAACAGUGAAGACACAAACAAUCCUGGAGUGUGGUCAGGAAGUCCAGCAAAGAGGAGCAGGAAGCAUUUGUGGACCAGCUGAGACCAUGUGCUUCCUGGAACAGAUGAGGCCUUGUGAUCUUCAGAUCUGUCUGUUCUGCUCCUGACCUUUAGCAAUAAAACUGUGUCAGACACCUCA
rnacentral:lncRNA from 13 species